GCUUCACCUUUUUAAAAACCAUACUUAUAACAAAUUUGCCAAGCAUUUCAAGGACAGCCCGUAAAGUAUACAGAUAAAAGCUGCUUCAUUUCACUAUGCACAGACAGAAUACAUAUACCAACUUACCAAGUCCAACUUAAACAUGGAGAAAUAUGCACCAAAGCGACCAAUCAAAAGAACUCAAGACAGUGCAAUUAAUAUCACAUUUUUAUAUCCAUGUUUGUUACAAAUGAUGCCCAAUUCCAAGUUCAAACUUCGAACAUUAACAUGACAGAUUUCAAACACUGCACAGAUUCGCACAAACUUUCAGAUCACAAUCUUCUGAAGUGAAAGUAUAGCCCAAAAAGCAUAGCCGCUCAGGAUUUUCCAACUUGAAAGUACAUGCAGAACAUUCUAUGAACUUUGGAGAUUUAAGAAAAA
rnacentral:misc_RNA from 1 species